GUCGAUCUGUCAAGCUAAAGGAUCAAAGCAUCUGGUACAUCGUCAGAAGCUCGAAGAAGAGCUCAAAGAGUUUCGGGCCUUUAAGAAUUUGAGUCCGCCACUGACCGAAGACUUUCGUAAGGAUAUCCAGGCAGAAUACAGAAAAUUCGCCGAGCUGAACAAUAAGAUCGUCCAUAUAUAUGCGAAAGGAUAUGAAAUCUGCCGAAGUAAAGGCAAGAAAAAGCUCGGGCCAAGGUAGAUCCAUCUCUUCUAGACUCUUUAGAUGGUGACGAUGACAAGGAAGAAGCCUGAAGAUGACCUCUCCUUAUCUUUAGUUGUAGAACUUUCUGUGAAAAUUCUAACUUUAUGUGAACAGUUAAUAUUUAAUGAAAUAUCAACUUCAUGCCUUAUUACUUCUGUGUGAACAUUUCUUGUCAAUAAUUCAGUGUCAAUUAAUCUGUAUGAACUUAACUUAGGACAUGAACUAGAUAAGGCGUAUAACAGUUAAUUUAUGAAAUGAAGUGAACUGAAUUUAAUGGAUAGAAUUUAAUGAACAGUAUUGAAUGAACUGAACUCAACACUUGAACAAAAUAAAGUAAUGUAUACUUAUCGUUUCCGAAGUGUGAGAUCGGUCAUGUGUGAAGUGAAUUCGGCUGAUCCUC
rnacentral:lncRNA from 1 species